rnacentral:rRNA from 1 species
AUAGAGGGGGGAGCACAACACAUGCAGUCGAGCGAUGAAACCCCUUCGGGGGUGGAUUAGCGGCGGACGGGUGAGUAACACGUGGGUAACCUGCCUCAAAGUGGGGGAUAGCCUUCCGAAAGGAAGAUUAAUACCGCAUAAAGCCAAGUUUCACAUGGAAUUUGGAUGAAAGGAGUAAUUCGCUUUGAGAUGGACCCGCGGCGCAUUAGUUAGUUGGUGGGGUAAUGGCCUACCAAGACAGCGAUGCGUAGCCGACCUGAGAGGGUGAUCGGCCACAUUGGAACUGAGAUACGGUCCAGACUCCUACGGGAGGCAGCAGUGGGGAAUAUUGCACAAUGGGCGAAAGCCUGAUGCAGCAACGCCGCGUGAGUGAUGAAGGUCUUCGGAUUGUAAAGCUCUGUCUUUUGGGACGAUAAUGACGGUACCAAAGGAGGAAGCCACGGCUAACUACGUGCCAGCAGCCGCGGUAAUACGUAGGUGGCGAGCGUUGUCCGGAUUUACUGGGCGUAAAGGGUGCGUAGGCGGAUGUUUAAGUGAGAUGUGAAAUACCCGGGCUUAACUUGGGUGCUGCAUUUCAAACUGGAUAUCUAGAGUGCAGGAGAGGAGAAUGGAAUUCCUAGUGUAGCGGUGAAAUGCGUAGAGAUUAGGAAGAACACCAGUGGCGAAGGCGAUUCUCUGGACUGUAACUGACGCUGAGGCACGAAAGCGUGGGUAGCAAACAGGAUUAGAUACCCUGGUAGUCCACGCCGUAAACGAUGAGUACUAGGUGUAGGAGGUAUCGACCCCUUCUGUGCCGCAGUAAACACAUUAAGUACUCCGCCUGGGAAGUACGAUCGCAAGAUUAAAACUCAAAGGAAUUGACGGGGGCCCGCACAAGCAGCGGAGCAUGUGGUUUAAUUCGAAGCAACGCGAAGAACCUUACCUGGACUUGACAUCCCCUGAAUAACCUAGAGAUAGGCGAAGCCCUUCGGGGCAGGGAGACAGGUGGUGCAUGGUUGU